rnacentral:rRNA from 1 species
UACAGAGGUCCCAAGCGUUGUUCGGAUUCAUUGGGCGUAAAGGGUGCGUAGGCGGCGCGGGAAGUCGGGUGUGAAAUCUCGGAGCUUAACUCCGAAACUGCAUUCGAUACUGCCGUGCUUGAGGACUGGAGAGGAGACUGGAAUUUACGGUGUAGCGGUGAAAUGCGUAGAUAUCGGGAGGAACACCUGCGGCGAAGGCGGGUUGCUGGGCUGACACUGACGCUGAUGCGCGAAAGCCAGGGGAGCGAACGGG